UCUAGUUAGGACACUCCUGGCUCAAGGAGGCACACCUGUAACUCAUUGAGCUGCAGGUGUUUAUAAAGCAACUUGGGAGUGGGACCAGAGCUUCUUGGAUGCUAUGCAGAGAAGGCCAACAUCAACAGCUGUGGGAGGAGGAGUAGAGGAGUAGAGCAUUAAAGAAAGCCUGAGGACAGGCAGGUCGGUGUUGGAAUUGGAAGAAUUAAUGUAACAUGCAGAUGGAAGAUCAAGAUGCUGCUGCAGACAGCAUGCAGAUGUCCCACAGGACGGUCAACCAGUCUAUGCAUGGUUUCACCAUUGUAGAGGAGACCACACGGUGUACAUCAAAGGUGCAUGUGAAUCUGUGUUGCAUUGGGAAGGGCUGUUUUGGCUCUUGGAUAGAGAAUGCACAGGGACAGGACUGGCACCUCCUAUGGUUGCAGGGGAAAAUGACAAGGGAGGAGGAGGGGUGGGUGAAAUGGAUGAGUAGACCAGAAAGGGAGUGGUUCCUGUGGACUACCUGAAAUCUCACAACACUCUGUCUACUGUUGCCUAUCCUCAGGGUAGGUAGGCUCUUUGGAGCAAUGGAGAAGGGUAGCAGUAAUAUGCUGGGCCACUGGGAUGUAAAUGGCAGACUCGAGGUUGGGACUGGUCUCCCAUCAAUGUCCUAUUGCCUGUGGGCACUGUCCGAAGUCCUGGAACUAGAUACUUUCCUGUCCCUUAGCAUCCUCCUCCCACCAGAGCAGGGCACAGAAGUCAAAGCAGAAGCAACUCUCCAGAGGACCCAGCAGGAGUAGAGGGGGUUACGACAGAGUACACUUUCCCAACAGAUGUAGGUGAGGAGAAGUUCACUAGAAUGCAAGGUGGAACAUCGGAGGGGGUGACAGUCAUCUCCAGAGUGUCACAAUCAGGAAUAUCUGUCCAUGGUGAGAGCAAUCUUAAUGAAUACAGCCUUCCUGUACAGUUUAGAGGUCAGGCCAAUGGUUGAGGGCCCAGCAACCUAGGUUGUUGUCCUUACAUAUUUUGAUGGUUGUAUUUAGCUGCAUACCCAAACAUGACGACCAAAUUCUGUGUAAACUCCUCUUCCUUUGAUGUUAAUAAUCUGACUGGGGAGUCUUUAGCUGCCAUAACAAGGAAAUUGCUUGCCACUGGCUAUGGUGGAGUGGUCAUGGAGACUCUGCUACACUCCCCGGUGAGGUCUCUGCUCCCAGGUCAGCUGAAGCCAGAUCCUAAAUCUUUACCCAGCCAUUGCAGCUGAACUGAGCUGAUGAGUGGUCUGGCAGUUUACAAAAUCUGUCUCCACAACCUCUCCGCUAUCUGUUCUGGCAAUCUGGUUCCAAUCCCCCUGCAACUCCAGCUUAAAUCUCUCCCACUGCCCCCCCUCCCCAACCUCCCAUGUGAAGCACUAGCAAAACCUUCCCAGUAGGAUAUUCGUCCCCCUCUAAUUUAGCUGCAAACUGCCUUUUCUCUAUAGGUCCCACUUUGCCAGGAAGAGAGACCAAUGUUCCAAAAAUCGGAAGCCUUCCCUUCUACAAUAACUCCUGAGACACGUGCUAAAUUGUAUGAACUUCCUGUUUCUGGCCUCAGUAACAGGUGGCAUAGUCACCACGUUUCACCAAGUGCAGAGUGAAAGACACUGAAGCAGGUCGACAGUUCACAGACUUUAAUACAAACGGUGCUAGAGGGAAAAUAAAACAAUAAACACUAGGCCAAGCAGGGCAUUAACUAAAACUCUCAAAGGAAAACAAAGCUUACAUUGCGGCUGAAAAGAACAGCUAAACAUUAUUUUCAAUAUUGCUAGUCUUCAGAGCCAGUUGAUUUGAAAGUCCAAUACCUCAGGGAAGGCCGAAUACACAACAGCAGCGAAGCGUUGCUAUGCUCUGUCUAAGUCUCGAUAAGCACUAUGACGACAAGAAUGGAGUUAACCACUAUCAUGAUUAAAUAAUAAUUAGCUGACACGUGCAAAUUCACAAGCGCAAUUGCCGUAUCUACUGCGCUGCCGAAUCGUGGUUGUGACAGGGACCCCGUCUCUAGGUGCAGCCCCUGACGCGCCACAGACCUGUGUCCGCUGGAAAUCCCAGAUCAGCGACUUGGCCAAGAUGUCCUUUGCUGGGAUCCAAAUACGUUCUUCUGGGCCAUGCCCUUCCCAGUCCACAAGGUAUUGUACCCGGCGAGAUGCCAGGUGGGGAGGAAGGAGAGAUGGGGUGACUGGAGCCAGGGGAGAGGUAGUAACCGGCUUGAGCUGGGAAACAUGUAAUACUGGGUGGAUCUCCAGUGAUGCCGGCAGACGCAAUCUAUAGGAUACCUUGUUGACAGCCUUUUCCACUACAAACGGUCCAACGUAGUGUGAUGCCAAUUUCCGGUUCUCAACUUUCAGGGGAAGAUCCCUAGAUACCAAACAGACCUCCUCCCCUGGCUUGAAUAGCCUUACCUGUCGACAAAAUCGAUCAGCCUGCCCAGAGUGUUGUUUCUGGGGAUGCAGCAGAGUAGCCCUGGCCGGUCUCCAGGUCCGUUUGUAGCGCUGGAUCAGCUGUUCAGCAGCAGGAACUCCUAUGUCGAUCUCCUGAUCAGGGAGGUUCUUGUGUGCGAUCUCUGCCCAAACCAAUUGUGAGCUCCAGGAUGUGUUGUUGAAGGAGGCAAGACAGCGCAGGGUUGUCUCCAACUCCUGGUUCACUCUCCCAGUCUGGCCAUUGGAUUGCAGGUGGAAGCCAGAUGAGAGGCUCCUAUAAGAGAGCAGAAAGCCUUCCAAAAGUGGGGAGUGAAAUGUGGUCCAUGAUCAGACACUAUGUCUUGAGGAAAACAAAGAAGGAACACAUGUUGAACCAUGAGUGCGGCAACGAAGUGGGCAGCUGUGGAAAAUCGGUCCACAAUGUCAAAAAUGGUGGUGUUUCCAUUAGACGGGGGCAGCCCAGUGAUGAAAUCUACAGAGAGGUGGGAUCAGGGGCAGUGGGGCACAGGCAGUGGACAUCCUGGGACAUAGAUGGCCACCAAAAUUGUCUCAUUAUAAACUCCUGAGCCCAUUGAAUUCCCUGAUGUCCAGCCAGAUGGGAGGAGUGACCCCAUCCCAACACUUGGGAAUGCACAGCAGCAGGGACAAACAGCCAUUUGGGAGGUCCCCCAUCCAGGCCUUGAUCUGAUUGUUGGGUGGCCCUCACUCUGCCUCUAUCCCCAGAUCACCGGAGCAGCGAUACACGAGUGAGGAAGAAUGGGCUCUGCACUGGCAUUGUUCUCUGAUCCAUCCAAUGAUAAGUGAGGAGGAAACUGAACCGUGUGAAGAAGAAGAGAGCCCACCGGGCUUGACGACAGUCGAGUCUUGUAGCAUCCUGAGGUUUUUGUGAUCUGUCUAGACCAAGAAUGGAUGCUCUGCCCCCUCCAGCCAGUGUCACCAUUCCUCCUUGAUAGCCAGAAGCUCCUGGUUCCUGAUGUUGUAACUUGACGGGAAAGAAAGGCACAAGGGGGCAGCUGGCUAUCCGCAGACAAGCGCUGAGAGAGGACAGCUCCAAUGCUGACAUCGGAUGCAUUCACCUCAACACUGAAUAGCUGAGAUGGGUCUGGGUGUUGCUGCAAAAGGGCAGUGGUGAAACAUUGCUUUAGCUCAGAAAAUGCUUGGUCGGCAUCAUCCAUCCAAUGGAAUCCUGCCCAGGUCUUCUUGUUGAGUGUAUUAACUGGAGCCGCAAUGGAGGCAAAAUUUCAGAGAAGUGGCGGUAAAAGUUCACAAAACCCUACCUGUUUGACUAUAGACAGUUUGAGCCACUCUGCAACUUGACUAGGGUCCAUUUUAACACUGGACGGGUAAGUAUAUAGGCCAAAAACGACACCUGGUCUUUAUGGAAAUCACAUUUCUCAGGCUUGGCGUGCAAGUCAGUUUUGAGAAGGCGUUUGAGUACUCUCCGGACAUACCAGACGUGCUCCUGAUGACAGCAGGAAUAGAUAAGGAUGUCAUCUAAAUACACAAACUGGUUCAACAUGUCCCUGAGCACAUUGUUAAUCAAGGCCAGACCAAAACGUAUUACCAGGUAUUCAUAGUGACCAUAGUGCAGAAAGCCGUUUUCCACCCACCACCUUCUCUUAUGCGAAGAAGAUUGUAAGCAUUGCGCAGAUCAAUUUUGGAAAUUAUUGUUGCUUCCUGGAGAUGUUCAAACGCAGACGCCAGCAAGGGUAGUGGUUCUUCACGGUGAUGUUGUUCAGGGGCCGAUAAUCGAUGCAGGGACGGAGCUUGCCAUCUUUCUUGCUUACUAAAAAGAAGCCUGCUCCUGCUGGUGAGGGUGACAGACAGAUAAACCCCAUGGCCAAUGCCUCCUUGAUGUAUUCCUCCACGGCCAUCGUUUCAGGAUGAGAAAGGGAAAAGACCCGGACCCCGGGAGGACUAGCGCCAGGUAGGAGGCCUAUGGCACAGUCGUAUGGCCGGUGUGGGGGCAGGGUGGUGGCCUUUCUUUUACUGAAAACAUCAAGGAGAUCUGCAUAUUCAGCUGGAAUCCCAGACAAGUCCACGUCCUUAGCUGACACAGGAGAGGGUUCAUGGAAUGGAGCUUGAGCUGGACCCAGACAGGUAGACAGGCAUGCCAGUCCCCACUCUUGGAGUAUCUUCAGAGACCAAUCGUUCCAUGGGUUAUGUAGGGGUAACCAGGGGAGACCAAGUAGCAGUGGCAGUUCAGGUGAAUUAACCAGAUAGAAAGAUAUUUCAUCAUGAUGGUUGCCUUUGAGCACCAGUUGGAGGGGUUGGGUGGAAAGGCGUAUCUUGACGGUUCCCGGACAUCGACCAUCCAGCGCCUUCCUGAGAUGGGACUCCCCAUCUCUGAGUGAGAGAGAUGUCCAUGAGAUUCCCGGCUGCAGCGGAGUCAAUAAACACGUUACGUUCGUGGGUCUGAGACCUCCAUGACAAGCAAGCUGCAUUACAGAAUUAGGGGAAGCUGACUGAAGAGAGAACCGACCGGUCAGGAUUCCCCUCCCUGGUUACAGGUAUUCUCUUUUACUGGAAGCUUGGCAUGGCCCGGAAGUAUCCUGGAUCGCCAGAAUAGAGGGAGGUACUUGUCUUCCGAUGCCACUCUCGUUCCUCCUGAGACAGGCGCAUGAGCCCCACUUUCAUAGGUUCC